rnacentral:rRNA from 1 species
AAUUUUGGACAAUGGGGGAAACCCUGAUCAAGCCAACCCGCGUGUAUGAUGAAGGCCUUCGGGUAGUAAAGUACUUUUGACAGACAAGAAAUGUUAUCUCCUAAUACGACUAAUUGCUGAAGGUAUCUGCAGAAUAAGCACCGGAUAACUACGUGCCAGCAGCCGCGGUAAUACGUAGGGCGCAAGCGUUAAUCGGAAUUACUGGGCGUAAAGCGUGUGUAGGCGGUUCGGAAAGAAAGAUGUGAAAUCCCAGGGCUCAACCUUGGAACUGCAUUUUUAACUGCCGAGCUAGAGUAUGUCAGAGGGGGGUAGAAUUCCACGUGUAGCAGUGAAAUGCGUAGAUAUGUGGAGGAAUACCGAUGGCGAAGGCAGCCCCCUGGGAUAAUACUGACGCUCAGACACGAAAGCGUGGGGAGCAAACA